UACAGAGGUCUCAAGCGUUGUUCGGAAUCACUGGGCGUAAAGGGUGCGUAGGCGGCGUGGAAUGUCAGAUGUGAAAUCCGGGGGCUCAACCUCCGAAAUGCAUCCGAAACUUCCAUGCUGGAGAACUGUAGAGGGGUCUGGAAUUCUCGGUGUAGCAGUGAAAUGCGUAGAUAUCGAGAAGAACGCUCGUGGCGAAGGCGAGACCCUGGGCAGUUUCUGACGCUGAGGCACGAAGGCUAGGGGAGCAAACGGG
rnacentral:rRNA from 1 species